rnacentral:rRNA from 1 species
GAUGAACGCUGGCGGCGUGCUUAACACAUGCAAGUCGAACGGAAAGGCCCAAGCUUGCUUGGGUACUCGAGUGGCGAACGGGUGAGUAACACGUGGGUGAUCUGCCCUGCACUUCGGGAUAAGCCUGGGAAACUGGGUCUAAUACCGGAUAGGACCACAUUUUGGAUGGUGUGGUGGAAAGUUUUUCGGUGUGGGAUGAGCUCGCGGCCUAUCAGCUUGUUGGUGGGGUAAUGGCCUACCAAGGCGUCGACGGGUAGCCGGCCUGAGAGGGUGUACGGCCGCAUUGGGACUGAGAGGCAGCCCAGACUCCGACAGGAGGCAGCAGUGGGGAAUAUUGCACGAUGGGCGCAAGCCUGAUGCAGCAACGCCGCGUGAGGGAUGACGGCCUUCGGGUUGUAAACACCUAUCGCUAGGGACGAAGCGUUUUUGUGACGGUACCUGGAGAAGAAGCACCGGCUAACUACGUG